AUUGAACCUCACACAAUUGUUUUCCUCCCCUACCCACAACUUGUAAAAUAGCAUAUUCAUCUUGGUUUGUCAUCUGUCAUUCCAUUACCUGCAUGGCACUAAUGUCAAUGUAAAUGUGUGUAGGUUUGUGUAUACACAUAUAUAAGCAAACUGAAUUAUGGCAGCAGCCAAACCCAUGUAAAAGAGCAUCCACCAGGCUGUUUAUUCACUAAACAAAUUGUAGUGGAUUGAAAAUCAAAAUGUACAACUAGCAAAGCUGAGGCUAGGGCAGAGUUGUAGAAUGUUUCACAGUCAGUCUAGGCUAUAUUUUGCAGUUUGGUUUUGAAUUCACUACAAUUUGAUGUAUAGUGGCUAACGCUAACCCCCUGUGCUCUAAGUAAUGCCAUAAUUCAACUGGCUAGUUUCCCC